UCAGCUUUGGCACAGUAGGUAGUGCAUUCAACUUCAAGCUGAAGGUCCCGAGUUCAAUCCUUGGAAGGAGGG
rnacentral:tRNA from 1 species